GAGAAGUAGCUGUAAAGCUCAGGAGGGAUAGCGCCAUGUCUCACCAGUACUAUGAAAUGUUUGUAUAUCUAUAUUGGCGCUAUCCAUCCUGAGUUCUAUGGCUUCUUCUU
rfam:Brassica napus, WGS project CCCW01000000 data, contig: 38733